UAGCCUUGACAUAUUAUAGAAUUCAGUAAAGAUACAGAAGUGCCUUCGGGAGCUAUAUUACAGGUGCUGCACGGCUGUCGUCAGCUCGUGUCGUGAGAUGUUGGGUUAAGUCCCGCAACGAGCGCAACCCUCGUCACUAGUUACUAACGGUUAGGCCGAGGACUCUAGUGAGACUGCCUUCGUAAGGAGGAGGAAGGUGAGGACGACGUCAAGUCAUCAUGGGCCUUACGGCUAGGGCAACACACGUGCUACAAUGGUUAGGACAAUGAGAAGCAAUAUCGCGAGGUGGAGCAAAUCUAUAAACCUAAUCUCAGUUCGGAUUGUAGUCUGCAACUCGACUACAUGAAGCUGGAAUCACUAGUAAUCGUAGAUCAGCUAUGCUACGGUGAAUACGUUCCCGGGUCU
rnacentral:rRNA from 1 species